GGCCUUGGUGUACAGUGAGGGGCUUCACAGGUGUUUUACAGGGCUUAGACGAUAAAAUGAAAAUGACACUAGAGGAAUUCAGAACUCAUUCAUUUCUCCCAAAUUGGAAACUGUCCAAACCUCUCCAUUACUAUCUCCAAUUUCCUACCUUCACAACGACGAGACAACACCAAUGGACUCAUAUCAGCCUCCGGUCAACGCCAAAAUCGGUGAAGCACAAAAGUCACAACUAUACCCUAAACGUUUUUGCCAACAUCGAAAACUGUCGAGCACUGUUCUAAACUUCCACCUCCGUGGGUGAAGAACAAAAGUCACUACUGUAUCCAGACAUUUUUGCCAACAUCGAAAACUGUCGAGCUUUGUUCUGAAUUUCCACUGCCGUGAAACCACCACACCUUCAUGUCCUCCUCUGAUGGCGUCAAACCACAUAAGUGGAGAAUAAUUCAUCCCAACUGGUGAUCAAGUUAACGUCUUAACUUUUAUCAUACGUAAGUGGAGAUUAAUUCAUCUUAGCUGGUGUUUAUCAUAUGUAACUAGAGAUAAAUUCCUCCCAGUUGGUGUUUGCAUUUUAUUCAUUUUUGAGUAAUUCAUAUUUUGCAUAAUUAGUGCUUCAAUUUGACAUUCGAUUAAUUGUAAAAUGGCACGAAAAAAUUCUGAAAAUAUGAAUUACUCAACUUGAAGAUGUAUCUCGUAUGUUCCAAUCUCAAGUUCGCCUAACUAACGAAGAAGAGCUCUAUAUUUCUAUCAACUUGACCAUCAGGGGGCAGGGGUGAAGGUGUUAGAAAUAGAAGUGGACUUAGGAGGAGGAAAAACUCAAUGAGAUGGAAAUGAUUUUCUAUUAAAUUGUGGAUUUGUCUUCAACUCAAAAUUACAUAGGCAUUUAUAGGGUUUCUUAUCACAAAAGUUC
rnacentral:lncRNA from 1 species